UGUUUUAGCGGCGGACGGGUGAGUAACGCGUGAGCAACCUUUCUCUCAGUGGGGAAUAACACAGGGAAACUUGUACUAAUACCGCAUGAGACCACGACCUGGCAUCAGGAUGGGGUCAAAGAUUAAUCGCUGAGAGGUGGGCUCGCGUCUGAUUAGAUAGUUGGUGGGGUAACGGCCUACCAAGUCGACGAUCAGUAGCCGACCUGAGAGGGUGAUCGGCCACAUUGGGACUGAGACACGGCCCAAACUCCUACGGGAGGCAGCAGUGGGGAAUAUUGGGCAAUGGGGGAAACCCUGACCCAGCAACGCCGCGUGGAGGAAGAAGGUUUUCGGAUCGUAAACUCCUGUCCUCGGGGAAGAGCAGAAGACGGUACCUGAGGAGGAAGCCCCGGCUAACUACGUGCCAGCAGCCGCGGUAAUACGUAGGGGGCAAGCGUUGCCCGGAUUUACUGGGUGUAAAGGGCGUGUAGGCGGAGCUGCAAGUCAGAUGUGAAAUCCCGGGGCUCAACCCCGGAACUGCAUUUGAAACUGUAGCCCUUGAGUAUCGGAGAGGCAAGCGGAAUUCCUAGUGUAGCGGUGAAAUGCGUAGAUAUUAGGAGGAACACCAGUGGCGAAGGCGGCUUGCUGGACGACAACUGACGCUGAGGCGCGAAAGCGUGGGGAGCAAACAGGAUUAGAUACCCUGGUAGUCCACGCUGUAAACGAUGAAUACUAGGUGUGGGAGGACUGACCCCUUCCGUGCCGCAGUUAACACAAUAAGUAUUCCACCUGGGGAGUACGACCGCAAGGUUGAAACUCAAAGGAAUUGACGGGGGCCCGCACAAGCAGCGGAGCAUGUGGUUUAAUUCGACGCAACGCGAAGAACCUUACCAGGUCUUGACAUCCAGUAAAACUUGUAGAGAUACAUCGCGUCUUCGGACGUACUGAGACAGGUGGUGCAUGGUUGUCGUCAGCUCGUGUCGUGAGAUGUUGGGUUAAGUCCCGCAACGAGCGCAACCCUUACUUUUAGUUACUAACAGGUAAUGCUGAGGACUCUAGAAGGACUGCCGGGGACAACUCGGAGGAAGGUGGGGACGACGUCAAAUCAUCAUGCCCCUUAUGACCUGGGCUACACACGUGCUACAAUGGCCACCACAGAGAGAAGCGAGCCUGUAAGGGUAAGCGGAACUCAAAAAAGUGGUCCCAGUUCGGAUUGUGGGCUGCAACCCGCCCACAUGAAGUCGGAGUUGCUAGUAAUCGCGGAUCAGCAUGCCGCGGUGAAUACGUUCCCGGGCCUUGUACUCACCGCCCGUCA
rnacentral:rRNA from 1 species